rnacentral:snRNA from 1 species
UUCCCAUGUCUUUUGGAA